rnacentral:rRNA from 1 species
CCUACGGGCGGCAGCAGUGGGGAAUAUUGCGCAAUGGGCGAAAGCCUGACGCAGCGACGCCGCGUGAGGGAUGAAGGUCUUCGGAUCGGAAACCUCUGUCAGCAGGGAAGAAAGGUCACUGUGCUAAUCAGCAGUGAAUUGACGGUACCUGCAAAGGAAGCACCGGCUAACUCCGUGCCAUCAGCCGCGGUAAUACGGAGGGUGCGAGCGUUAAUCGGAAUUACUGGGCGUAAAGCGAUCGUAGGCGGUAUGUCAAGUCAAGGGUGAAAUCCCCGCGCUCAACGUGGGAACUGCCUUUGAAACUGGCAAACUUGAGUGUGUGAGAGGAUAGUGGAAUUCCAGGUGUAGGAGUGAAAUCCGUAGAUAUCUGGAGGAACAUCAGUGGCGAAGGCGACUAUCUGGCACAUAACUGACGCUGAGGAGCUAAAGCGUGGGUAGCAAACAGGAUUAGAUACCCCUGUAGUC